UGGAAAAAUACACGGUAAAAACCCUAAUCCCACUCCCAUCUUAUCCCUACAAAGCUGCAGGAAGAGUGAAAAACCAAAGAGGAUUUGUCUUUCGAGAAGAACCGGGCAGGAUAAGAACAGUGGCAGAGAAGGGCAUGGUAGCAGGAUGAAGACGGAGGGGAUCCACUCGAGCAAACGGCUCGGGAGGGAUAAGGACGGCGAGGGAGUUGGUGAUGUUAGUCCGUGGCAAAAUGCAUCGUCGAGAAUUAUUAGGGUUUCGCGCGUCUCGGGAGGUAAGGACCGUCACAGUAAAGUGUGGACGGUGAAGGGGCUUCGAGACCGUCGCGUGCGGCUCUCGGUUUCCACCGCGAUUCAGUUUUAUGAUAUUCAAGACCGUCUCGGCUACGAUCAGCCUAGCAAGGCUGUUGAAUGGCUCAUCAAGGCCGCCGCGGAUUCCAUCAUCGACCUCCCGGAGCUCGUCGGCCCAUUCCCCGUGCCGCCGCCUGUGGAGGUUCCCGCUCGUUCGAUGCAGACAGGUGCGGCCGGCGAGCAGCAUUUCUCGCAGUCCAAGUCUACUUGCAGCAGCGCAUCAGAGAUGAGUAAGGGAUCGGUGCUGUCCUCCAGGUUUGAAGGCAUUGGAAAGGAGAAGGAUGAGGACUUGAUAUAUCAGCAUCAAAAUCUGAGCAAACAGAGCUCCUUCACUGUGCUUCUCAAGGUCGGUGGGAGCAGCAACGGCAGCGCUGCUGUGGCCGAGGUAGUGGAUUUCAGCAGUGGUUUUAAGAAGAAGCAGAUGAGGCCGCCAUUGACUAAUUCCUACGCAGAUUAUUUUAGGCAAGUUGGGAUCUUUGGGGAGUCGCCCAAAAUUCAGCAGUUUGAACCAGGGCACUCUUCAGUACUGCAUUUUGGGAGCAAUCCUCAUAUGGGAAUUGGAAUGGUGACAUGCAAUACAGGAGAGCAUCACGACUUGAAGCAGUUUUCUUUCAUGCAGGAUCAUGCAAUUCCUGUGUCAGCUUUGGCACCUCGAGGAGAUUAUAACCUCAAUGUCUCCAUUUCGUCUGGUUUUACUGGAUUUAGUAGGGGGACCCUUCAGUCCAAUUCUCCGUAUCACUGCCAACUUAUCCACGGUUCAAACCUGCCGUGCUUUCUGGGUAACACUCUUCCAAUUUCAGCAGCAGCGGGAGGCUCCUUGGAGAACCAUUUUCCUGGUAGUUUUAAUGCCCGUCUGCAAUUUUUCCCGAAUGAGGCACACUGGCACCCCGAGCUAAAGGGGAAAAGGCAGGGAUGAAAUCUACAGAGAUUCAUGGAUGUUCUGUUUGCUGUUAAGAAGUUUAUUCAACAUCGUGGAGUGGCGCCAAGUACAGGAGUUGAAGACAAAGCAGGAAGAAUUGGAUCAAUCAUCUUUCUAAUGAGGCCCUCAAUGCUCUUUUCUCUACUCUUAAUUAACUUUUGUUGAAUGCUUUAGUGAUUAUCUGGUGUGUGAAAUGAUUGUAUCAUUUUAGAUUUUAAGGUGUCUGUUCUUCCAAACCAUUCACUUUUAUGAUCUUACAUAAGUUGAUGUUUAUUAA